rnacentral:rRNA from 1 species
AUACGUAGGUGGCAAGCGUUGUCCGGAUUUAUUGGGCGUAAAGCGAGUGCAGGCGGUUUUUUAAGUCUGAUGUGAAAGCCUUCGGCUUAACCGAAGAAGGGCAUCGGAAACUGGGGAACUUGAGUGCAGAAGAGGAGAGUGGAACUCCAUGUGUAGCGGUGAAAUGCGUAGAUAUAUGGAAGAACACCAGUGGCGAAGGCGGCUCUCUGGUCUGUAACUGACGCUGAGGCUCGAAAGCGUGGGUAGCAAACAGGAUUAGAUACCCUGGUAGUCCACGCCGUAAACGAUGAGUGCUAAGUGUUGGGGGGUUUCCGCCCCUCAGUGCUGCAGCUAACGCAUUAAGCACUCCGCCUGGGGAGUACGACUGCAAGGUUGAA